rnacentral:rRNA from 1 species
AUUGAACGCUGGCGGCAGGCUUAACACAUGCAAGUCGAGCGGAGCGAGGGUGCUUGCACCUUAGCUUAGCGGUGGACGGGUGAGUAAUGCUUAGGAAUCUGCCUAUUAGUGGGGGACAACAUUCCGAAAGGAAUGCUAAUACCGCAUACGCCCUACGGGGGAAAGCAGGGGAUCUUCGGACCUUGCGCUAAUAGAUGAGCCUACGUCGGAUUAGCUAGUUGGUGGGGUAAAGGCCUACCAAGGCGACGAUCUGUAGCGGGUCUGAGAGGAUGAUCCGCCACACUGGGACUGAGACACGGCCCAGACUCCUACGGGAGGCAGCAGUGGGGAAUAUUGGACAAUGGGCGGAAGCCUGAUCCAGCCAUGCCGCGUGUGUGAAGAAGGCCUUUUGGUUGUAAAGCACUUUAAGCGAGGAGGAGGCUCUUAAGGUUAAUACUCUUGAUGAGUGGACGUUACUCGCAGAAUAAGCACCGGCUAACUCUGUGCCAGCCGCCGCCGUAACAC